GACGAACGCUGGCGGCGUGCUUAACACAUGCAAGUCGAACGGUAAGGCCCUUCGGGGUACACGAGUGGCGAACGGGUGAGUAACACGUGGGUGAUCUGCCCUGCACUUCGGGAUAAGCCUGGGAAACUGGGUCUAAUACCGGAUAGGACUCCGGACUGCAUGGUCUGGGGUGGAAAGCUUUUGCGGUGUGGGAUGGGCCCGCGGCCUAUCAGCUUGUUGGUGGGGUGAUGGCCUACCAAGGCGACAACGGGUAGCCGGCCUGAGAGGGUGACCGGCCACACUGGGACUGAGAUACGGCCCAGACUCCUACGGGAGGCAGCAGUGGGGAAUAUUGCACAAUGGGCGCAAGCCUGAUGCAGCGACGCCGCGUGAGGGAUGACGGCCUUCGGGUUGUAAACCUCUUUCAGCACAGACGAAGCGCAAGUGACGGUAUGUGCAGAAGAAGGACCGGCUAACUCCGUGCCAGCCGCCGCAGUAA
rnacentral:rRNA from 1 species